rnacentral:tRNA from 1 species
GUUGUGGCUCAGUGGUAGAGCGCUUGCCUAGAAGUGUGAAGCCCUGGGUUUGAUCCUCAGCACAACA